GGAGGGGUGGUCGAGCGGUUUAUGGCUCCGGUCUUGAAAACCGGCAGGCCGAAAGGCCUCGUGGGUUCGAAUCCCACCCCCUCCGCCA
rnacentral:tRNA from 1 species